rnacentral:rRNA from 1 species
UGCAGUCGAGCGAGAUCUUCGGGUCUAGCGGCGGACGGGUGAGUAACGCGUGGGAAUAUGCCCUUCUCUACGGAAUAGCCUCGGGAAACUGAGAGUAAUACCGUAUACGCCCUUUGGGGGAAAGAUUUAUCGGAGAAGGAUUAGCCCGCGUUGGAUUAGGUAGUUGGUGGGGUAAUGGCCUACCAAGCCGACGAUCCAUAGCUGGUUUGAGAGGAUGAUCAGCCACACUGGGACUGAGACACGGCCCAGACUCCUACGGGAGGCAGCAGUGGGGAAUCUUAGACAAUGGGGGCAACCCUGAUCUAGCCAUGCCGCGUGAGUGAUGAAGGCCUUAGGGUUGUAAAGCUCUUUCAGCUGGGAAGAUAAUGACGGUACCAGCAGAAGAAGUCCCGGCUAACUCCGUGCCAGCAGCCGCGGUAAUACGAAGGGUGCAAGCGUUAAUCGGAAUUACUGGGCGUAAAGGGUGCGUAGGCGGUUUGUUAAGUUCGAUGUGAAAGCCCUGGGCUCAACCUGGGAAUGGCAUCGAAGACUGGCAGACUGGAGUGCGGUAGAGGAUGGUGGAAUUCCCGGUGUAGCGGUGAAAUGCGUAGAGAUCGGGAGGAACACCAGUGGCGAAGGCGGCCAUCUGGACCAGCACUGACGCUGAGGCACG